rnacentral:tRNA from 1 species
AGAGCUAUAGCUCAGCGGUGGAGCGCCUGCCUAGCAUGCACAAGGUCCAGGGUUCAAUCCCCAGCAUCUCCA